rnacentral:rRNA from 1 species
GAUGAACGCUGGCGGCGUGCCUAAUACAUGCAAGUCGAGCGAACGGACGAGAAGCUUGCUUCUCUGAUGUUAGCGGCGGACGGGUGAGUAACACGUGGAUAACCUACCUAUAAGACUGGGAUAACUUCGGGAAACCGGAGCUAAUACCGGAUGAUAUUUUGAACCGCAUGGUUCAAAAGUGAAAGACGGUCUUGCUGUCACUUAUAGAUGGAUCCGCGCUGCAUUAGCUAGUUGGUAAGGUAACGGCUUACCAAGGCAACGAUGCAUAGCCGACCUGAGAGGGGGACUGGGCCAACUGGAACUGGGAAACCGGCCCGACUCCCAAGGGAGGGCGGCGGGGGGAAUUCUUCCGAAUGGGGGAAAGCCCGAAGGAGGCACGCCGCGGGAGGGAAGAAGGUCCUUGGAUUGGAAAAACCUUUUAAUUGGGAAGAAAAAAAGUUGGAGGAAACUGUGCAAUUUUGAAGGUAACCAAACAAGAAGCCCCGGGUAAAUUCGGG